rnacentral:rRNA from 1 species
UACAGAGGGGGGCAAGCGUUAUUCGGAAUUAUUGGGCGUAAAGGGCGCGUAGGCGGCCUGGCAAGUGGAAGGUGAAAUCCCUCGGCUUAACCGAGGAACUGCCUCCCAAACUGCUUGGCUUGAGACCGGGAGAGGUGAGUGGAAUUCCCAGUGUAGCGGUGAAAUGCGUAGAUAUUGGGAGGAACACCAGUGGCGAAGGCGGCUCACUGGACCGGUACUGACGCUGAUGCGCGAAAGCGUGGGGAGCAAACAGGG